UGCUGAGUAAACUCCUCAGUCUUUUGUUGG
rnacentral:piRNA from 1 species